rnacentral:rRNA from 1 species
GAUGAACGCUAGCGGCAGGCCUAAUACAUGCAAGUCGGACGGGAUUCAGGAGCUUGCUUCUGAUGAGAGUGGCGCACGGGUGCGUAACACGUAUGUAACCUACCUUUAUCAGGGGGAUAACCUCUCGAAAGAGAGAUUAAGCCCGCAUAAAAUCACAGCACAGCAUUGUGUAAUGAUCAAAUAUUUAUAGGAUAAAGAUGGGCAUGCGGAACAUUAGCUAGAUGGCGGGGUAACGGCCCACCAUGGCGACGAUGUUUAGGGGAUCUGAGAGGAUGGCCCCCCACACUGGUACUGAGACACGGACCAGACUCCUACGGGAGGCAGCAGUAAGGAAUAUUGGUCAAUGGGCGGAAGCCUGAACCAGCCAUGCCGCGUGCAGGAAGACGGCCCUACGGGUUGUAAACUGCUUUUAUACGGGAAUAAACCCAGAUACGUGUAUCUGGCUGAAUGUACUGUAAGAAUAAGGAUCGGCUAACUCCGUG